rnacentral:rRNA from 1 species
GAUGAACGCUCGCUACAGGCUUAACACAUGCAAGUCGAGGGGCAGCAUGGUCUUAGCUUGCUAAGGCCGAUGGCGACCGGCGCACGGGUGAGUAACACGUAUCCAACCUGCCGUCUACUCUUGGACAGCCUUCUGAAAGGAAGAUUAAUACAAGAUGGCAUCAUGAGUCCGCAUGUUCACAUGAUUAAAGGUAUUCCGGUAGACGAUGGGGAUGCGUUCCAUUAGAUAGUAGGCGGGGUAACGGCCCACCUAGUCUUCGAUGGAUAGGGGUUCUGAGAGGAAGGUCCCCCACAUUGGAACUGAGACACGGUCCAAACUCCUACGGGAGGCAGCAGUGAGGAAGAUUGGUCAAUGGGCGAGAGCCUGAACCAGCCAAGUAGUGUGAAGGACGACUGCCCUAUGGGUUGUAAACUUCUUUUAUAAAGGAAUAAAGUCGGGUAUGGAUACCCGUUUGCAUGUACUUUAUGAAUAAGGAUCGGCUAACUCCGUG